UUCAGUGUUUUCAGGCUUCAUGUUUAGGUCUUGGAUCCAUUUGGAGUUAGGUUUUGUGCAAGGUCAUAGAUACUGGUCUAAUUUCAUUCUUUUGUGUGUGGCCAACUCUUUUUCCCAGCACCAAUUGUUGAAUAUGCUUCCCCCCCCCAGCAUGUGUUUUUGGCAUCUAAGCUUAUGUGUAUUCAUAUUAAGUAAAUGAUUAAAUGAAAUAAUUUAAGUUGAACAUUGACAAUCAGUCAAAACAUUUUUUAAAGGGCUAUAAAGGGAAGAUUUUAUCUAAAAAUUCUAUUUAAAAUUGUUACCAAAGACAUUUCAACAGACAACAAAGACUCAGCGAUACUAUUAAUUAAUUAUUGAUGUAAAUUUUAGAAGCAUUUGGUGCAUCAAAUGGAAGCGAUGGAUAUAUGAAUCGGAAGACUGUUAUCAAAACUGUGCGCUCUACCCACAGCAUGGAGUCACUGGCUUUUCCCACUGCUUAGCAGCCAACUUGAAAAAAAUUGAUGUUUAAUGAAGUGGAGAAACUCAGUGAACAUGACAUUUUGCAGUGAGCCUAGGAUGUCCACAGGUUUCCAAACUCUUUGCAGUACCCAAAAGGAGUGAUGUUGGAUGACUCUUAGCUUCUACCAUGUUCUUCCUCAGGAGUUGUUGGCCACUGGCUCACAAGGGUGAAGGGAGCAGAGGUGGCGAGCAGGUUUCAGAUAGCCAGGAAUAUGACAGAGGGAGCUUCUGGGAGUCAGCUUCAGAGAAACAGCUCAUUUUAUUGUUCCAGGGGCAAGGUAUAUAAGGGUUAUGGGUGGGAAGGGCUGAUUGGUCAUAAAACAGCACCUAAUUAUCAUAUGGGCCGAAGGAAAGCAAGACUUAAGCAGGUGCUGAGCCAUGUAGCGUUUGCAGGGAGUUCUGUGCAGGGUGAUCCUCCAAAUAAGGUCAGGCAUCUGAGCUCAGAGACUCUCUCCAAUUAAGGUUAGAUAGAAAAGAGAGAGCCCCACCGAGAAAGGGAGUCCUUCAUUUUGUGCCAAACUCAGAGAGCUAUCUGGACAUGGCAGACUUGAACCUUGAUAGCAGGGUUCUCCAACAGGCUAUAAAAUCAAAACCAUUGACUUUUUAGGACAACAAACAUGAUAUUUUGAAUUGAGACAUAGUGUGCUAAUAUUAAUCAUUUUAAUUUUAAUUUUAUUGUCAUUAGAAGUAGCAUGUAUGUGUUCAUGCAUGUAUGUGCGUGCCACAGCACACAUGUGAAGGUGAGAAGAUACGUUCGUAUAGUCUCUUUUCUCCUUCUACCUUUACUUGAGUUACAGGAAUCAAACUUGGGUCUCUGGACUUGUAUAUGCAUUUUUAUGUGCUGAACCACACCACUAGUCCUAGAAUAUUUUCUUUAUUCACAGUACUCCUGUAUUUAUUCAAAAUCAUCUCCUGAAGAGAGGAUUUAUUGGAAGCCACAGAACAACAAGUAUUGCGAGACUCUUCUUAUAUGAGGUGCCUACUGUGGUAAAUUCACAGGCAUGGAAAAUGGUGGUUGCAUGUGGGUGGGACUAUCAGGAAUUAUUAUUUAAGAAGUAGAGAAUUUUAGUUUUAUAAGAUGAUAGAAGUUCUUGCAUAAAUGGUUUUUGUGAUGCUUCAUCUUCAAUGUCUAUAGGAGAAACUGCGGCCAGCCUACCCAAGCCGCAAUUGCCCUGCCCCCAGUGCCCAGGCCAGCCCGCAUGCGCAUUGAGCAUGUGCAGUGGGCACUGCCUCCCUGAGCCAAGCCACCAAACCUGCCUAGAGGCUCAGAGACUACUGAUGGAGAGACACCUAACCCAGAGACACCAAUGAGGAAAGGACAACUCAACAGAGUCAGCAGCCUGAGCCAAUAGGACCUUGGGAGGGGGUAUAAAGGCAGGUCUGAGUCACUUGAUAAAGUCUGCAGCGUGCUCUGCUACUCACUGACUCCUAGUGCCUGAGUGGUUGGUACUGUCUUCUCACCCACCUCCUCCAAGGGGUGUUCGAACAGGGUAACCUGCAACAUCUGGAGUCUAAACCUGGGGCUUGUGGAUCCCUUGCUGGCAUGGGUCUCAGCCCCGCUUAAAUCAGGGUGUAUUUUUCUUUUCCAUCACUGUGGCUGUUUUUUUGUUUAGACCUUCAUCUUUGCCUUUUGUUGCUGGUGGUGCAUUGUCGGAUCCUACGCUGGUGAACUUUCACUUUAUCUAUCUUCAUCCUUCGGACUCCUCUUCACUCAACAUAGUGUGUUUCGGCACCCCUUCUUCAUGACUUGUUCGUGUAUUUCCACAUUCCAGGUUCUCCUGGCACUUCAACACCCAGAAUGUGGCUCUCCUUGAGAGGUCUCUUGGGCCCGACCCACAGAAAUUCCUAAGGCAUCAGUUUAACAGGCACUCCUCCCACCAGGGUGUGCUUCCCAGAGAUGUCAUCUUGCGAGAGUUGGUAGUCAAUGACAGGCCAGCACCCAGGAGCAUGCGCAUGUGCAGCAGGCACUUCCUCCCUGAGCCAAGCCACCAAGCCUGUCUGGACGCCCAGAGACUGCUGAUGGAGAGACACCUGACCCAGAGACACCAAUGAGAAAGGACAACUCAACAGAGUCAGCACCUGA